CAGCAGACUCAGCCCGGCGGCGCGCGAGCUCAGUCUGUCUCCCCUGACUUUGCCUGUCUCGCUCUUGCCCUUUCCUUAUCUGCGCUCCCUUCUCUCUCCUUCGGUUUUCCAUUCCACCUUUCCUCUCCUGCUCCCCUUUCUGUGCACCCCGCUCCUGGACUACCCCUUCCUCUAACUCACCAGUUUCCCUUCCCCUUUCCCCACCUCCUGCCCGGAAAGGCUGGACUUCUCUGUUCUAGGACCAAGGUGGGGGUUUUCUUUGCCGCAUCGGGGUUCCCAGACUGGUCCAGAACCUCCGCGCUCCUGCCCCCAAUUUCAAAUCAGCCUUUCCACCUCAGUCACAGGGGCAGAGUUUCAGGUUUGUUGUGAGAAUCCCUGGCUUACGCAAAGUACUUACACAUGGUAGCAACUACAGCCCUACAGCUUCGAUGUGGACUCAGAGCGCUCAGCCUUUGCCACGGGACACUGCUGCCUCGCCUUCUUGUGUGCCUGUCCCUCCACCUGAAGAGAUCUCCCCCUGCUCAGGUCAAAGCCUCUUCUACAAAGAUGGCCUGCUGUUGAGCGACCUCUGUGCCAUGAUCAGGAAAGCACCUUGGAAGUAGAAUCAACCUUCGAGAAAAGUGGAAUCUUCAGUGGGAGGUGUAAUACAGCAACAGAAAACCAAACUCACUAAACUCA